rnacentral:rRNA from 1 species
GUGACUACGGGGGGCAGCAGUGGGGAAUAUUGCACAAUGGGGGAAACCCUGAUGCAGCGACGCCGCGUGAGCGAUGAAGUAUCUCGGUAUGUAAAGCUCUAUCAGCAGGGAAGAAAGUGACAGUACCUGACUAAGAAGCCCCGGCUAACUACGUGCCAGCAGCCGCGGUAAUACGUAGGGGGCAAGCGUUAUCCGGAUUUACUGGGUGUAAAGGGAGCGUAGACGGCGAUGCAAGUCUGAAGUGGAAGGCGGGGGCCCAACCCCCGGACUGCUUUGGAAACUGUAUAGCUGGAGUGCAGGAGAGG